rnacentral:lncRNA from 1 species
UCAACGUUUACCGAGACCAACGGAGAGGUAACCAGUCAUUAAUGAAUGACUGGAAGAGAUACAACCAUACGUCAACGGACGAAAUGGGAAAAACUCAACGUUUACCAAGACCAACGGAGAGGUAACCAACUGGGGACGACCAGGAAAAACUCGACGUUUAUCGAAACCAACGGAGAGGUAACCAACUGGGGACGACCAGGAAAAACUCGACGUUUAUCGAAAC